rnacentral:rRNA from 1 species
GGAAGAAUAACUGAUGGAAAAAUCAUUCUGACGGUACCUAAUGAAAAAGCCCCGGCUAACUAUGUGCCAGCAGCCGCGGUAAUACAUAGGGGGCAAGCGUUAUCGGAAUUAUUGGGCGUAAAGGGUGCGUAGGCGGUUAAAUAAGUUUAUGGUCUAAGUGCAAUGCUCAACAUUGUGAUGCUAUAAAAACUGUUUAGCUAGAGUAAGAUAGAGGCAAGUGGAAUUCCAUGUGUAGUGGUAAAAUGCGUAAAUAUAUGGAGGAACACCAGUAGCGAAGGCGGCUUUGCUGGGUCUUUACUGACGCUGAGGCACGAAAGCGUGGGGAGCAAACAGGAUUAGAUACCCUGGUAGUCCACGCCGUAAACGAUGAGUACUAAACGUUGGGUAAAACCAGUGUUGAAGUUAACACAUUAAGUACUCCGCCUGAGUAGUACGUACGCAAGUAUGAAACUUAAAGGAAUUGACGGGACUCCGCACAAGCGGUGGAUCAUGUUGUUUAAUUCGAAGGUACCCGAAAAACCUCACCAGGUCUUGACAUGCUUCUGCAAAGCUGUAGAAACACAGUGGAGGUUAUCAGUUGCACAGGUGGUGCAUGGUUGUCGUCAGCUCGUGUCGUGAGAUGUUGGGUUAAGUCCCGCAACGAGCGCAACCCUUAUUGUUAGUUACCAGCACGUAAUGGUGGGGACUUUAGCAAGACUGCCAGUGAUAAAUUGGAGGAAGGUGGGGACGACGUCAAAUCAUCAUGCCCCUUAUGACCUGGGCUACAAACGUGAUACAAUGGCUGUAUGAAAA